rnacentral:rRNA from 1 species
GUAGGUGGCAAGCGUUGUCCGGAAUUAUUGGGGCGUAAAGCGCGCGCAGGCGGUUCUUUAAGUCUGAUGUGAAAGCCCACGGGCUCAACCGUGGAGGGUCAUUGGAAACUGGAGAACUUGAGUACAGAAGAGGAAAGCGGAAUUCCACGUGUAGCGGUGAAAUGCGUAGAGAUGUGGAGGAACACCAGUGGCGAAGGCGGCUUUCUGGUCUGUAACUGACGCUGAGGCGCGAAAGCGUGGGGAGCAAACAGGGAUUAGAUACCCUGGUAGUCCACGCCGUAAACGAUGAGUGCUAAGUGUUAGGGGGUUUCCGCCCCUUAGUGCUGCAGCUAACGCAUUAAGCACUCCGCCUGGGGAGUACGGCCGCAAAGGCUG